CCCCUCACAAAAGUUGAAGCGUUUGCACUCAAGGCCAAUGACUUGAAGAUUAUAGCGUCUAAAUUCCCAGAGGCAUUUCGGAACAGAUGAUGAGAGAUGAUGGUACAAUCCAGUUGAUGACUAUUAUGACUCAUCCGGUCCACCUGGAGGACGGUGGAGUUUGAACUUGAGUCACUACUAGAAUAUGUAUUGAGUCAUUUUUCCUUAAACUACACAACUUUAGAAUCGUGCUCAAUGCUAUAUAUUUUAUUAUAAAAUAAAAAAAAAUUACACAACCCAGUUGCUACUUGCUUAGGCUGGAUUCCACACUCUUUUUGUUUUCACAAAAAUUGCAAACAUGAAAAAUUUGACGAAUAAACAAUCACAUUGAAUUUGAAAUUUCAGCAAAUUAGUAUUCGGAGCAUACGAAUGCAAUGAUAGAAUAUUUUCACAAGAACCAAGCGACCAAAUUUUGAAACAAGGAAAAUCACUAAAUACAUAAAACUUAAGAAACCAAAAACAACCAAAUCAAAUAACAAUAACAUUAAUUGAAAUUCCGUAAGGGUAUCACCCAUCCAUUCCUAAAUGAAAUUCAAAUUUGAAAAACAACAUAGGACAUCAAACACGGGUUGCUGACCUGUAGAACAUCUCAGGAUUGCAUGGCCUCUAAUGCCUCGGUUUUGUAAUACUCCCAGUCGCCGAGAACCCAUACCCACCAAAGCUUGACAUCAAGGGUCUAAUUUGCAUUUUCCACUUCAAGGAUAUGGGGAUAGAGGGAGAGAGCUAUCAAAAAAAAAAAAAAAAAGUGAAAGGAGAUUUGAGCAGUAGAGUGGAUCUGAUUUGGAGGCAGCAGCGAGACAGAGAGAGGGGUAGAUGCGACAGAAGAACGACUGAGAGGUUCUUUUGGGGAGGGGAUAGAGAACCGAUGAGAAGUUCUUAACAAGUUCUUUUGUGGGGAGAAAGAAGGCUUGAAUCAAGAAGGAUGGGUUAGAUAUGUUCUGGGGUUGGAAAAGAUUAGGGGAGGCGUGUGUUUUUAAACUUUGCUAUCAAUUAAAAAUAAAACAUAUUUAUUUUUUCUUUUGUUCUUUUUUAACUUUGAAGAUAAAAAGAAAUAGGGAAAUAACUGGGCUGUGUAAAAAAAAAAAAUAGAAAUAACUGGGCACAAAUGUAGUUUUUGUGUUUUAGCGUUGUUACAUCUGUCAGAUAAAGACACAAUUAUUUGUGUCCAAUAAAAAUUUGUGCUUUAUGUAAAUUGAUUCGACACAAUUAUUUGUGUUUCAUACAAAAAGAGCACGAAUAAAACUUAUUUGCGCUCAAUGUUAGAGAAAAGGGCACCCAACCU
rnacentral:lncRNA from 1 species